rnacentral:rRNA from 1 species
GAUGAACGCUGACGGCGUGCCUAAUACAUGCAAGUCGAGCGAACAGAUGAGGAGCUUGCUCCUCUGACGUUAGCGGCGGACGGGUGAGUAACACGUGGAUAACCUACCUAUAAGACUGGGAUAACUUCGGGAAACCGGAGCUAAUACCGGAUAAUAUAUUGAACCGCAUGGUUCAAUAGUGAAAGACGGUUUUGCUGUCACUUAUAGAUGGAUCCGCGCCGCAUUAGCUAGUUGGUAAGGUAACGGCUUACCAAGGCAACGAUGCGUAGCCGACCUGAGAGGGUGAUCGGCCACACUGGAACUGAGACACGGUCCAGACUCCUACGGGAGGCAGCAGUAGGGAAUCUUCCGCAAUGGGCGAAAGCCUGACGGAGCAACGCCGCGUGAGUGAUGAAGGUCUUCGGAUCGUAAAACUCUGUUAUUAGGGAAGAACAAAUGUGUAAGUAACUAUGCACGUCUUGACGGUACCUAAUCAGAAAGCCACGGCUAACUACGUG